rnacentral:rRNA from 1 species
GACGAACGCUGGCGGUGUGCUUCACACAUGCAAGUCGAACGAGUGUCGGCCGGGUGAGUAACACGUUGGAAUCUACCAUUAGGUGGGGAAUAACAGGCCGAAAGGACUGCUAAUGCCGCAUACCUUUUGAUGAGCCCGCGUCCGAUUAGCUAGUUGGUAAGGUAAAAGCCUACCAAGGCGACGAUCGGUAGGUGGUCUGAGAGGAUGAUCACCCACAAGGGGACUGAGACACGGCCGAUACGCCGACGGGAUGCAGCAGUGGGGAAUUUUACGCAAUGGGGGAAAGCCUGACGUAGCGACACCGCGUGAGCGAAGAAGCCCUUUGGGGUGUAAAGCUAGGUCAACAGGAACGCGGUACCCGCAGAAGAAGCACCGGCUAACUACGUGCCAGCAGCCGCGGUAAUAC